rnacentral:rRNA from 1 species
GAGUUUGAUCCUGGCUCAGAACGAACGCUGGCGGCAGGCCUAACACAUGCAAGUCGAGCGCGCCCUUCGGGGUGAGCGGCGGACGGGUUAGUAACGCGUGGGAAUAUGCCCAAAGGUACGGAAUAGCCUCUGGAAACGGAGAGUAAUACCGUAUGUGCCCUUCGGGGGAAAGAUUUAUCGCCUUUGGAUUAGCCCGCGUUAGAUUAGGUAGUUGGUGGGGUAAUGGCCUACCAAGCCUACGAUCUAUAGCUGGUUUUAGAGGAUGAUCAGCAACACUGGGACUGAGACACGGCCCAGACUCCUACGGGAGGCAGCAGUGGGGAAUCUUGGACAAUGGGGGCAACCCUGAUCCAGCCAUGCCGCGUGAGUGAUGAAGGCCUUAGGGUCGUAAAGCUCUUUCGCCUGUGAAGAUAAUGACGGUAGCAGGUAAAGAAACCCCGGCUAACUCCGUGCCAGCAGCCGCGGUAAUACGGAGGGGGUUAGCGUUGUUCGGAAUUACUGGGCGUAAAGCGCACGUAGGCGGAUCGGAAAGUUGGGGGUGAAAUCCCGGGGCUCAACCCCGGAACUGCCUCCAAAACUAUCGGUCUAGAGUUCGAGAGAGGUGAGUGGAAUUCCGAGUGUAGAGGUGAAAUUCGUAGAUAUUCGGAGGAACACCAGUGGCGAAGGCGGCUCACUGGCUCGAUACUGACGCUGAGGUGCGAAAGUGUGGGGAGCAAACAGGAUUAGAUACCCUGGUAGUCAAUC